rnacentral:tRNA from 1 species
GCCCAAAUGGAUCAGUUGUGAGAGCGUUAAGCUAUAGAUCGACAGUUCCUGGUUCGAUCCCAGGUUACGGCA